GUCCAGCUGCCUGGGAGAGGCAGGGUACCACAGAGGAGCUGGCAUCCCGAGAAAGGAUGCCACCACCAGCUGGUCCCUUCCAGAGCUCUGUCUGAACUCCACCAGCCUUGCUUCUGGCCUCAUCCUGCAGACCCAGGGGACACCUCCACUUGCAAGUUCAGUCCAUGGGCACUGCACACUCUCUCGGCCCCAAGUUGAACCCCUUUUCCUCACCCAACAUCCUCCAUUUCAACAAAUGGCAGCGUUGUGGGUAAAAUAACACCUCCUUCAGAGACAUUGACAUCCUCAUCCCUGACUUCGGCUGCAGCUCAGUGGUGCAAUCUCAGCUCAUUGCAACUUCCACCUCCCAGGAUGAAGCAAUCCUCCCACCUCAGCCUCUCCAGUAGCUGAGACUUCAAGCUCCCUCCAGCAGCCGAGCUGAUUUUUGUAUUUUUUUAUAGAGAUGGGGUUUCACCAUGUUGCCCAGGCUGGUGUCAAAUCCCUGGGCUCAAGUAAUCUGCCCACCUCGACCUCCCAAAGUGCUGGGAUUGCCUGCGUGAGCCCCAUCCCCGGCCUGCUCAUUUCCUUCUAGUGCUGAAGAAUAUUCCGAUGUCUGGAUAGACCACAGUUUGUCUGUCCACUCACCUCUAGGCAGACAUCUUGGUUGCUUCCAGUUUUUAGUGACGGUGAAUAAAACUGCUCUAAACAUUCGUGUGCAGGUGUUGGUGUGAACAUAAGUUUUCAACUCAUUUAUCGAGUGGCUGCACCGUUUUGCAGUUCCGCCAGCAACGCAUGAGACUUCCUGUUGCCGCACGCCCACCCCGGCAUUUGGCGUUGUCAGUGUUUUGGAUUUUGGCCAUUCUUACAGGUAUGUGGUGGUGUCUCACUGUUGU